rnacentral:rRNA from 1 species
AUUGAACGCUGGCGGCAGGCCUAACACAUGCAAGUCGAGCGGAUGAAGGGAGCUUGCUCCUGGAUUCAGCGGCGGACGGGUGAGUAAUGCCUAGGAAUCUGCCUGGUAGUGGGGGAUAACGUCCGGAAACGGGCGCUAAUACCGCAUACGUCCUGAGGGAGAAAGUGGGGGGUCUUCGGACCUCACGCUAUCAGAUGAGCCUAGGUCGGAUUAGCUAGUUGGUGGGGUAAAGGCCUACCAAGGCGACGAUCCGUAACUGGUCUGAGAGGAUGAUCAGUCACACUGGAACUGAGACACGGUCCAGACUCCUACGGGAGGCAGCAGUGGGGAAUAUUGGACAAUGGGCGAAAGCCUGUUCCAGCCAUGCCGCGUGUGUGAAGAAGGUCUUCGGAUUGUAAAGCACUUUAAGUUGGGAGGAAGGGCAGUAAGUUAAUACCUUGCUGUUUUGACGUUACCAACAGAAUAAGCACCGGCUAACUUCGUG